rnacentral:rRNA from 1 species
AUACGGAGGGUGCAAGCGUUAAUCGGAAUUACUGGGCGUGAAGGGCGCGUAGGCGGUCUAUCAAGUCAGGUGUGAAAUCCCACGGCUCAACCGUGGAGGUGCAUCUGAAACUGAUAGACUUGAGUAUGGGAGAGGAAAGUGGAAUUCCCGGUGUAGAGGUGAAAUUCGUAGAUAUCGGGAGGAACACCAGUGGCGAAGGCGACUUUCUGGACCAAUACUGACGCUGAGGCGCGAAAGCGUGGGGAGCAAACAGGAUUAGAAACCCAGUAGUCC